CGGUGUAGCUCAGUUGGUAGAGCAGCUGAUUUGUAAUCAGCAGGUCAGGGGUUCGAGUCCGUUCACCG
rnacentral:tRNA from 1 species